GAAAAAAAAGGUAUAUUGAAAGACAAAGUAAAGACAAGAAUUGAAAGUCUAGAAGAGAGACAAAAGGGAAAGGAAAAAACAGCUACACGGAGAGAGAGAGAAUGAGAGAAGCAAACAUGAGAGAGAAUGUUUAUUAUAAUUGUGUUUUAAAAUUACAAUGUCCAGUCAGAGAGUUUGUUGAAGCACAAGGCUAAACAUACCAAUAUAAACUAUUCACACUAUAUUACUUUGUGUCUUUUCAAUUAUCUAAGUUACUUAUUUAUUGUCAUUAUAUCCACUAUAAUGUACAGACCCAUAAGCCAAUACAUUGUGUAACAUAUUUUCACCUUCCCAUUGUGUUGGCAUGUAUCUUUGUUCUUUGUUACAUUGGCGCGUAUGUUAUUCGUUUUAUUGGCAUAUCUGUAUAGAAACAAAGAAUAUUAGCUUUCAUUAUAAAAGUGUUUGUUUUUUUUUUGGUUCCCGGUCAUUUAAUCCCCGGUCACUUCAUCCCCUGGUCAUUUCAUCCCUGGUCAUUUCAUCCCCCUGGUCAUUUCAUCCCCCUGGUCAUUUUAUCCCCUAGUCAUUUCAUCCCCUGGUCAUUUCAUCAUCUGAUCAUUUUAUCUAACAAAUUGUAAUUGUAAAAUCGUGAAAUCAGCAAUAUUUAAUAUAUUCUGACAAAAAGUGUGACAUACUUGAUAACAAAAAAUUAAAUGCCAUUACAACUAUAAAAAUUUAACAUGUAUAAAUAUUGAGGUCACGUAAAAGAAAAAUGUUUUUGUGUUCAUCUACAUAAGAUAGAUAGGUAAGAUAAGAUAGAUAGGUAAGAUAAGAUAGAUAGGCUAUUGAUUGUUAGUACAGAAGACGAUCCAUCGAUUCAUAUUACUUAACAAUAUUUUGUAAUUCUCUUUGCCUAUAACACAAUUUACAACAUUAAUGUUUAAAAUAAAUAAAAUCAAAACUUAUAUAGGCGACAUGAUCUCCUGACGAUGGGUGAAGUCAGCCUUUAGUAGAAAAAAACAAAACCUUAUUUCAAGGCUAAAAUGACGCGCCCAUUUUCAAGAAAGAGCGAUUACAAAAUAAAAUAAAGUGAAAGAUGGUCGUCACGAGUUAUCAGCGGCAUAGUCAUAAGUAUUCUAAUCGUUCUGAUGUCUUAAGUGAUUUCCACUACUUCCACCACACCUUGGCCUUUCAUGAUCUUUUAUCAGCGGCAUGGUCAUCUUUCAGCGGGGCAUGGUCAUUUAUCAGCGCAUGGUCAUAAGUAUUCUAAUCGUUCUCAUCUCUCAAAAGAUUUCCACUAGUUCCAUACCUUGGGCUUUGAUCAUUACGUCAUUCGGAAGAUAAUAUUAUAAUGUUUCGGGGAUGAAGUGACCAAGGAUGAAAUGACCGGGGAUGAAGUGACUGUGAAGAAGUGACCGGGGAUGAAAUGACCGAUCACCUGUUUUUGUGUUUUGUUGUUUGCACUGAAAGUAGUAAAGUGUAAGCGAAGGACUUGAUUCUGUUUAUAUAUUUAUGUCAUGUUCCAUAUUCAUGCAUUAAAGAAAAUAUCAAAAUC